rnacentral:rRNA from 1 species
GUCUUUUUUACCUUUUUUUUUUUUUUUUUUGGGACCGUUUUUUGUUUUUACCAGCAGGGGAGCCUUAGGUCAGCGAAGAUUUGGAUCAGGGGAUGUCCUACGUUGGAUCCCCUGGUGGAUACAGGAAAUUCGUUAUCAGAGAGUGUGGACAAUUUUUUGCCAGGAUAGCCGGUAGAUAGUAGUGUGGGUAUGCCAGCAUCCGCGUCCUAGCUGUAGAGAGAUGUCAGCCGACUGGACGAGCCCGGCUAGAUCUAGGGAGCUGCGUGGUAUAUGGCAUGAGGAAGCCUAUAAGCAUGCGGGGAGUGAGAUGCCUUAGGAUGUAAGCUAUUUCCCAGGAUGAUAUGACGUACGUGAGAAUAAGUCCGGCUAAUACGUGCCAGCAGCCGCGUAAUACGAGGGACUAGCGUGUUCGGAUUAUUGGGGUAAAGCGCUCGUAGGCGGUUAUCAAGUCAGAGUGAAAGCCCGGGCUCAACUCGGGAAUUGCCUCUGAAACUAGGUGACUAGAAUCAUGGAGAGGUCAGUGGAAUUCCGAGUGUAGAGGUGAAAUUCGUAGAUAUUAGGAAGAACACCAGUGGCGAAGGCGAUUGUCUGGACAAGUAUUGACGCUGAGGUGCGAAAGUGUGGGGAGCAAACAGGAUUAGAUACCCUGGUAGUCCACGCCGUAAACGAUGAUAACUAGCUGUCCGUGUAUUUGGUACUUGGGUGGCGCAGAUAACGCAUUAAGUUAUCCGCCUGGGGAGUACGGUCGCAAGAUUAAAACUCAAAGGAAUAGAGGGGGGCGUGCACAAGCGGUGGAGCAUGUGGUUUAAUUUGAAGCAACGCGCAGAACAUUUCCAGUGUUUGACAUAUCGGUCGGGGAUUUGGGAGACCAUUUCUUUCAGUUAGGCUGGUCUGUGCACAGGUGAUGCAUGUCUGUAGUCAGCUUGUGUAGUGAGAUGUUGGAUUAAGUCCCGCAACGAGAGCAUCCUUCGUCGUUAGUUGCCAGCAUUUGUUUGGGCUCUUUAAGGAAACUGCCGGUGAUAAGCCGGAGGAAGGUGGGGAUGACGUCAUGUCCUCAUGCCCUUUACACGGGGGGUUACACACGUGAUACAAUGGCGGUGACAGUGGGCAGCUAGCACGAGAGUGUGAGAUAAUCUACAAAAGCGGUUUCAGUUGGAGAUUUUUUCUCUAAUUCAGCACACACCGCCCGUAGAGUUUAUCCUGCUCAGCACACCCCCCCGGUCUAUCCCCCCCUUAUUAUUUUU